AUUGAACGCUGGCGGCAUGCCUUACACAUGCAAGUCGAACGGCAGCACGGGGGCAACCCUGGUGGCGAGUGGCGGACGGGUGAGUAAUGCAUCGGAACGUGCCCUGAAGUGGGGGAUAACGCAGCGAAAAGCUACGCUAAUACCGCAUAUUCUGUGAGCAGGAAAGCAGGGGAUCGCAAGACCUUGCGCUUUGGGAGCGGCCGAUGUCGGAUUAGCUAGUUGGUGGGGUAAAGGCCUACCAAGGCGACGAUCCGUAGCGGGUCUGAGAGGAUGAUCCGCCACACUGGGACUGAGACACGGCCCAGACUCCUACGGGAGGCAGCAGUGGGGAAUUUUGGACAAUGGGCGAAAGCCUGAUCCAGCCAUGCCGCGUGAGUGAAGAAGGCCUU
rnacentral:rRNA from 1 species